rnacentral:tRNA from 1 species
GGAGAGAUGCCAGAGUGGUUGAAUGGGACGGUCUCGAAAACCGUUUACCGACUUGUCGGUACCAGGGUUCGAAUCCCUGUCUCUCCG